rnacentral:rRNA from 1 species
ACGGAGGGUGCAAGCGUUGUCCGGAUUUAUUGGGUUUAAAGGGUACGUAGGCGGCCGAUUAAGUCAGUGGUGAAAGCCGGCAGCUCAACUGUCGAGGUGCCAUUGAUACUGGUUGGCUUGAGUACUGUUAAGGUAGGCGGAAUUGAUGGUGUAGCGGUGAAAUGCAUAGAUACCAUCAGGAACACCGAUUGCGAAGGCAGCUUACUGGGCAGAGACUGACGCUAAUGUACGAAAGCGUGGGGAGCGAACAGG